AACCUAGCACACCUGCGGUGUGUACCUGCGGAAGGAUCAUUAUCGUGGAGCUCCGGCUCCUUCGAGGGAGAACCCUUGCCUUUUCGAGCACCUGUUUGUUUCCUCGGCAGGCCCGCCUGCCAAUGGGGACCCCUUUAAACUCUUGCAAUAACCUGUACACAAUCGUCUGAACAAAACAAACAAAUCAAAACUUUUAACAACGGAUCU
rnacentral:misc_RNA from 1 species